AGAGUUUCAUCCUGGCUCAGGAUGAACGCUAGCUACAGGCUUAACACAUGCAAGUCGAGGGGCAGCAUUUUAGUUUGCUUGCAAACUGAAGAUGGCGACCGGCGCACGGGUGAGUAACACGUAUCCAACCUGCCGAUAACUCUGGAAUAGCCUUUCGAAAGAAAGAUUAAUACCGGAUGGCAUACGAAUAUCGCAUGAUAUUUUAUUAAAGAAUUUCGGUUAUCGAUGGGGAUGCGUUCCAUUAGUUGUUGGCGGGGUAACGGCCACCAAGACAACGAUGGAUAGGGGUUCUGAGAGGAAGGUCCCCCACAUUGGAACUGAGACACGGUCCAAACUCCUACGGGAGGCA
rnacentral:rRNA from 1 species